AGAGUUUGAUCCUGGCUCAGAACGUACGCUGGCGGCACGCCUAACACAUGCAAGUCGAACGCAGUAGCAAUACUGAGUGGCAAACGGGUGAGUAUAAUGUGGGAAUCUGCCUUUUGGUCUGGAAUAACACGGGGAAACCUGUGCUAAUACCGGAUAAGCCUUCACAGGGAAAGUUUUAAUGCCAAAAGAUGAGCCCGCACUUGAUUAGCUAGUUGGUAAGGUAAUAGCUUACCAAGGCAACGAUCAAUAGCUGUUCUUAGAGGAAGACCAGCCACAUUGGGACUGAGACACGGCCCAAACUCCUACGGGAGGCAGCAGUGGGGAAUCUUGCACAAUGGGGGAAACCCUGAUGCAGCGAUGCCGCGUGAGUGAAGAAGGCCUUUGGGUUGUAAAACUCUUUCGUCGGGGAAGAAAAUGACUGUACCCGAAUAAGAAGGUCCGGCUAACUUCGUGCCAGCAGCCGCGGUAAUACGAAGGGACCUAGCGUAGUUCGGAAUUACUGGGCUUAAAGAGUUCGUAGGUGGUUAAAAAAGUUGAUGGUGAAAUCCCAAGGCUCAACCUUGGAACUGCCAUCAAAACUUUUUAGCUAGAGUAUGAUAGAGGAAAGUGGAAUUUCUAGUGUAGAGGUGAAAUUCGUAGAUAUUAGAAAGAACAUCAAAUGCGAAGGCAACUUUCUGGAUCAUUACUGACACUGAGGAACGAAAGCAUGGGUAGCGAAGAGGAUUAGAUACCCUCGUAGUCCAUGCCGUAAACGAUGUGUGCUAGACGUUGGAAACUUGGU
rnacentral:rRNA from 1 species